GCCUGUCGUCAUGUGUACACGUAAUGCCACCAACAGAAGUCACUGGAGGGAGAUAACGCGAGCAGCAGUAAAGAAUUCAUAGCCACGACCAUCUAUCAAGAGUGAACGAUUGAGAAAAAGAAAAUUCGUUCCACGUAUUUUACAAGAUCCUGGUGAACAA